GGGCGGGGCCAACGGACCGCGGAGGCGGAGCCGCUACAGUCUGGGCGCUGGAGCGGUGGGAGCAGCGCUUGUCCGCCGUUGGGGACCCCAGCCCGCGCGCGUGAAGCAGCUAGCCGACCAAGCCCCGGAAGGCGAGUGACGGGGGGCGGGGCGGGACAGCUCCUCCGGGGCCAGCGGGCACCAGGCUUGGGGGCUGAGGCCCAGCGGCCCGAGACCAACUGGGCGGACCGAGGCCGCCUCCCCGCCAGCCCUGGGGUCCACUGCCCGGGGAGCAGCUCCCUUCCGAGGUCAGACUCGGGUUUCAUUCUCUCUUGCCGCGCGCCGAGCGGUUUUCAACUCUCACUGCUAGAAUUCCUCCAGCCACCUAGGAUAGCAGGACCGAGAUACAUGGCCACCCAUGACCCGGAGCGUCCACUUCCAGGGACAGGCAGUGGUGAUUGGCUUCGGUUGUCAUCUGUGCCAUCUGUCCAUGGUUCGAAAAGCUGCUGUUCACAUUUUGGGGAGGAUCAUGGUUUGAGGGCUCCCGUGGUAGAAUUUGGGGAGCUCUCAUAGGCAGAAGGCUGAGAAAAGUUGGUGCUGUGGGAAGUCAGCUGGCAGCCGAUGGAGUCAGGACCAGGGAGGAAGGGAAAGGGAACCCAGAUAGGAAGCUACUGCAGUAGGCUCAGAGAGGUGAUGACGGCAGGGCUAAGACAGCGGCCUUGGGCGGUGACUGGGAAGAACGUUGAACACCGUGUUUGGAUUGAAGAAAAGAGCAAGGGAAGAGUCCCAGCUGCUCUGGAGGUUGAGGCAGGAGGAUGGCUUGAACCCAAGAGGUGGAGGCCGAAGUGAGCCAAGAUCGCGCUACUGCACUCCAGCCUGGGCGACAGGGCAAAACCCUGUCUCUAAAAAGAACUUUUUUAAAAAAGCACCUGUAGAUUUAAGCACAUAAUAACUACACUUUUGUCUGUUUUAUUAUGAUAUCAAAGUUAAAUUUAUGAUGAAUGACUAACUGGACAAAACUGAGAGCAACCACCACAGAGGUGAAUAUACUGAAUGUAUAACGCUCUCUAAUAAUUUUAAGAACUCCGCUCUAAUGAGCAGAUAUCACAGAAAGAAACUUUUCAGAUGAAAUACCGAUGACCAGGAAAUCUGUGAGACCAUUUUAAAAAAUUCGAAGUCAUUGAAGAAAUGCAAAGCUUCCAGGCUCCACUUUUCACUCAUGAAAUUGGCAGAGUUCAGGACAAUGAGAUGUUGCUGUCCCGGGAGUGCGGAUGGGGCUGUGUCCUGUGAUGGCGGUGGGCACUGGCACUCUUGUCCAGAAAGACAUUCGCCACUGUGGUUCAAGAAGCACCUCAAAGGUCUUCACCUUGGUCCCUUGUCUACCUCUGCCCGCGGUCUCUCCUCCUUUCAGCCUCCUCUUUCCCACACAGUCCCUCCCGCCCUGGCUUGGUCCCCUUUCUUCUGACUGGCUCAGGCAUGUGGGUGACUCUUUGACUUCCAAGGCUCUGUCUACUUGGCUUUUUUCUUUCACCUGUUCUGUGGAGUAACAGCCUGAUUCGUUCCUCUUUUUGGGUCCUUCACUUCCAUACCUGGGAUUCGGGGCGUGGCCCAGAAAGACCCUGCAGUCGUGCAGUGUGGGGCUGCCAAAAUUUCAUGGCCUCCAAGCUCAGCUGGGCUGAAUGAACGCUGCCGUCCAGCGCUUGGCUCGUUUUCUGUCCCAUUUUCCUGAGUGCUUUUGCCAGACUUUCACUUUUCUGAAACCUACUCCACCCUACCCCAGACACACCCUCUCUCCUCGGAUGACCUGCCUCCUAAUUUCCUGAGAAAACUGGACAUGGCCACCUUUCCCCAAUGUCUGAGGCCCAGGUUGACCCGUGGUCAUGGUCGCUGUCACCACCCACCUGCCUGUAUGACAGAGUGAGACCCUGUCUCAAAAAAAAAAUAAAAA